rnacentral:rRNA from 1 species
AUUGAACGCUGGCGGCAUGCCUUACACAUGCAAGUCGAACGGCAGCACAGGGCGACCUGGUGGCGAGUGGCGAACGGGUGGGUAAUGCAUCGGAACGUACCUUUCAGUGGAGGAUAACGUAGCGAAAGUUACGCUAAUACCGCAUAUUCUGUGAGCAGGAAAGCAGGGGAUCGCAAGACCUUGCGCUGAUUGAGCGGCCGAUGUCAGAUUAGAUAGUUGGUGAGGUAAAGGCUCACCAAGGCGACGAUCUGUAGCGGGUCGGAGAGGAUGAUCCGCCACACUGGAACUGAGACACGGUCCAGACUCCUACGGGAGGCAGCAGUGGGGAAUUUUGGACAAUGGGGGCAACCCUGAUCCAGCCAUGCCGCGUGAGCGAAGAAGGCCUUCGGGUUGUAAAGCUCUUUCGGCCGGGAAGAAAUCGCACGGGCUAAUACCCUGUGUGGAUGACGGUACCGGAAUAAGAAGCACCGGCUAACUACGUGCCAGCCGCCGCCGUAAUAC